rnacentral:rRNA from 1 species
AUGGGGUGCNNCNGGCGAGAAAACUUUGCAAUGUGCGAAAGCACGACAAGGUUAAUCCGAGUGGUUUCUGCUAAAGGAACCUUUUGUUAGUCCUAAAAACACUAACGAAUAAGGGGUGGGCAAGUCCUGGUGUCAGCCGCCGCGGUAAAACCAGCACCUCAAGUGGUCAGGAUGAUUAUUGGGCCUAAAGCAUCCGUAGCCGGCUCUGUAAGUUUUCGGUUAAAUCUGUACGCUUAACGUACAGGCUGCCGGGAAUACUGCAGAGCUAGGGAGUGGGAGAGGUAGACGGUACUCGGGAGGAAGUGGUAAAAUGCUUUGAUCUCUCGAUGACCACCUGUGGCGAAGGCGGUCUACCAGAACACGUCCGACGGUGAGGGAUGAAAGCUGGGGGAGCAAACCGGAUUAGAUACCCGGGUAGUCCAGCUGUAAACUAUGCAAACUCAGUGAUGCGUUGGCUUGUGGCCAAUGCAGUGUUGCAGGGAAGCCGUUAAGUUUGCCGCCUGGGAAGUACGUACGCAAGUAUGAAACUUAAAGGAAUUGGCGGGGGAGCAC